rnacentral:rRNA from 1 species
GAGUUGCACGCUCUAGACCCGAAGCGGAGUGAUCUAGCCAUGGGCAGGUUGAAGCGGCUGUAAGAGGUCGUGGAGGACCGAACCCACCAGGGUUGAAAACCUGGGGGAUGACCUGUGGUUAGGGGUGAAAGGCCAAUCAAACUCCGUGAUAGCUGGUUCUCCCCGAAAUGCAUUUAGGUGCAGCGUCGUGUGUUUCUUGCCGGAGGUAGAGCACUGGAUAGGCGAUGGGCCCUACCGGGUUACUGACCUUAGCCAAACUCCGAAUGCCGGUAAGUGAGAGCGCGGCAGUGAGACUGUGGGGGAUAAGCUCCAUGGUCGAGAGGGAAACAGCCCAGAGCAUCGACUAAGGCCCCUAAGCGUACGCUAAGUGGGAAAGGAUGUGGAGUCGCAGAGACAACCAGGAGGUUGGCUUAGAAGCAGCCACCCUUGAAAGAGUGCGUAAUAGCUCACUGGUCUAGUGAUUCCGCGCCGACAAUGUAGCGGGGCUCAAGCGUACCGCCGAAGUCGUGUCAUUGCAGCA